rnacentral:rRNA from 1 species
CCUACGGGUGGCUGCAGUGGGGAAUAUUGGACAAUGGGGGGAACCCUGAUCCAGCCAUGCCGCGUGUGUGAAGAAGGCCCUCGGGGUGUAAAGCACUUUCAGUGAGGAAGAACGCCUGGUGGUUAAUACCCAUCAGGAAAGACAUCACUCACAGAAGAAGCACCGGCUAACUCCGUGCCAGCAGCCGCGGUAAUACGGAGGGUGCGAGCGUUAAUCGGAAUUACUGGGCGUAAAGCGCGCGUAGGUGGCUUGAUAAGCCGGUUGUGAAAGCCCCGGGCUCAACCUGGGAACGGCAUCCGGAACUGUCAAGCUAGAGUGCAGGAGAGGAAGGUAGAAUUCCCGGUGUAGCGGUGAAAUGCGUAGAGAUCGGGAGGAAUACCAGUGGCGAAGGCGGCCUUCUGGACUGACACUGACACUGAGGUGCGAAAGCGUGGGUAGCAAACAGGAUUAGAUACCCUGGUAGUC